CCUACGGGAGGCAGCAGUGAGGAAUAUUGGUCAAUGGACGAGAGUCUGAACCAGCCAAGUAGCGUGAAGGAUGACUGCCCUAUGGGUUGUAAACUUCUUUUAUAAAGGAAUAAAACGAGGCACGUGUGCCUUUUUGCAUGUACUUUAUGAAUAAGGAUCGGCUAACUCCGUGCCAGCAGCCGCGGUAAUACGGAGGAUCCGAACGUUAUCCGGAUUUAUUGGGGUUAAAGGGAGCGUAGAUGGGUUGUUAAGUCAGUUGUGAAAGUGUGCGGUUUAACCGUAAAAUUGCAAUUGAUACUGGCAGUCUUGAGUACAGUUGAGGUAGGCGGAAUUCGUGGUGUAGCGGUGAAAUGCUUAGAUAUCACGAAGAACCCCGAUUGCGAAGGCAGCUUACUAAACUGUGACUGACAUUGAUGCUCGAAAGUGUGGGGAUCAAACAGGAUUAGAUACCCUAGUAGUC
rnacentral:rRNA from 1 species